UGGCGAACGGGUGAGUAACACGUGGGUAAUCUGCCCUGCACUCUGGGAUAAGCCUGGGAAACUGGGUCUAAUACUGGAUAUGACCUUUCUCCUUAUGGGGUUUGGUGGAAAGUUUUUCGGUGUAGGAUGAGCCCGCGGCCUAUCAGCUUGUUGGUGGGGUGAUGGCCUACCAAGGCGACGACGGGUAGCCGGCCUUAGAGGGUGAUCGGCCACAUUGGGACUGAGAUACGGCCCAG
rnacentral:rRNA from 1 species